GUGUCAGCAGCCGCGGUAAUACAGAGGGGGCAAGCGUUAUUCGGAAUUAUUGGGCGUAAAGGGCGCGUAGGCGGUCGUUCAAGUGGUAGGUGAAAUCCCUCGGCUCAACCGAGGAGCUGCCCGCCAAACUGAAUGACUUGAGUCCGGGAGAGGUGAGUGGAAUUCCCAGUGUAGCGGUGAAAUGCGUAGAUAUUGGGAGGAACACCAGUGGCGAAGGCGGCUCACUGGACCGGCACUGACGCUGAGGCGCGAAAGCGUGGGGAGCAAACGGGAUUAGAAACCCUCGUAGUCC
rnacentral:rRNA from 1 species